ACGCUCGACACCUACGGGGGCAGCAGUGGGGAAUAUUGCACAAUGGGGGAAACCCGUGAUGCAGCGACGCCGCGUGGAGGAAGAAGGUCUUCGGAUUGUAAACUCCUGUUGUUGGGGAAAAGAGGAUGGUACCCAACAAGGAAGUGACGGCUAACUACGUGCCAGUAGCNCGAGUAUNGNGGCGGNGNGAGAG
rnacentral:rRNA from 1 species